rnacentral:rRNA from 1 species
UACGUAGGCAGCAAACGUUGUUCGGAGUUACUGGGCGUAAAGAGUACGUAGGCGGUUUGCACAGUUUGGUGUGAAAUCUCCCGGCUUAACUGGGAGGGUGCGCCGAAUACUGGCAGACUUGAGUAUUGGAGAGGAAAGCGGAAUUCCUGGUGUAGCGGUGAAAUGCGUAGAUAUCAGGAGGAACACCGGUGGUGUAGACGGCUUUCUGGACAAUCACUGACGCUGAGGUACGAAAGCGUGGGUAGCAAACAGG